ensembl:lncRNA
GUCCAGGCCCCGCCCAGACUCCCUGCUCAGACCACGGCUCCACUGGCAGGGCCUGCGUUCAAGUGUGAAUGGCUCCGCCGAAAGUCUCUGCUUCCUCCCACCAUGAUCCAGGAUUACUCACACUGGCCUCCAGAUAAAUGUAGUUCAAAAAGUUUAAGGUGCCGCAUCGAUGCAUAUUUACAAAAACCAUGAGAUCACACUUCAGAACGGAUUUCCAAGAGAAAGCAAGCAAGCCAUACACAGCAGCCAUCUUCUCCUUCCUUUAGAUUUCCCAAUGACACAGGGAGUCAACUUACAAAGACCCACAACAAACCCAGGAAAGAGGGUACAACCAUUAGGUACAGCUAGAACCCCUGAAAACGUCUAUUUAGAGCAAAAGACCUGGGUUCAAGCCCUGGCCUUUGCUAGCUGUGUUUCAUCAGGUGAGUCACUUGACCUCUCUGAGGCUCUUUUUCUGUAGAAAGGUGCAAGGGGAGGCGGGGCUUGUCACACAAAGUAUCGGGCUUGGUUCUGUUUGCCUGACUUGGAAGGUGCCAGCUUCCCACCUCACCCUCUUCAGGGCUCCCUCCUGAAGCUGUGUUCCAGCUACGAUAGUAACCAUCCCAGGCCGAGCAGGACCACAGUAUAACCCAGCGCUUGUAGAGAGGACUGAAUGAGUGUGACUGUGGACACUGUGUAGAGCUGAGAAUGCCGGGAGAGAGGCCCACAGACCCUGCAGCCAGAGAGCAGCCUGAAAUGUGAGACCUGGCAAGCCCUUGGCCAGGUUCUCAGAGCCUGAGAAGCAACCUCAGUGAAAUCCAGAAGGCACUAUAUCAAGAAGCCGGCAGUUUGGGAACAAUCCUGCUAAGUCAUAAAUGCUUCAAAUUCUUCGGCUUUUGCCUUCAGAAUUUCUGGCAGCCUUGGGCAGGGGGCAAGUGUUCGCGGACAGACACUGACUCGCCUCGUCUCUGUUAGGGAAGGCCAAGACAGACUGAGACGGAGAAGCCAGCAGACCAACUCUCCUCUAGAAAAGUCUGCGGGUGGGAAGUGCUUUGCUGUGGAUACUCUGGUGCCCACCCAGAACCCCAUUAAAACCCAGGCUCCCAUGCCCCCACAUCCUCUCCCUUCCCCCUACAGCUGCCUCCCAGGCCGCCAUCAACCUCAGCCAAGGAGGCGGGUGGUCCAAGUCUACACGCCCUCCCCUGGGGACCCAAGCACUGGUCCACAGUGACACAGAGGCCAGUACCUUGUUUCUGUCCAUGCCGUCUCCACGUAACCAGCCCUUCAGAACUCCUGGCGAGAGUUGCAGCUGCCUCACUGUUGAGCUUUCCUCCCCACCCGCUCCUGCUCCCUCUCAGGUGUUGGCCCUGUGAUCCGCGCUCCCAGCAGGUGUAUCUUGUUCCCCACUCCCUGUCUGCCUGGCACUGGCAGUCCCCCAUCUUAGAGUGGGCUUCCCAGGAAGCUGAUCUGCAGAGCCUAGAAAGGGGAGGAAGAGUCAUGGGGUCUGGGUGCUGAGAGCACUGUGAAAUAAUCUCAUUCAGCCCCACCGCCCCACCGUGGAAACAGCCUGCCAGAGGCCACAGAGUGGACUGUUAGUACAGCUGGCCCCAGGCGCUCUGACCCCACUACGGGAUGAUAUGAAAAUUGCUUACAUGUCCGAUGUUGGGCUGCACCCCACAGGCCUGCAAGCCUUGUAGUUGUUCAGCCUCAAGACAACUAAACAGUCCAGAGACAGUGACAGAGGCCUCAGUGGUUUCACGGCUAGGGAGACCUUACACGUCUGAAGCAAGGCCAGAGCGACACCCCGCCAUGUGCGGUGGGGAGGACACAGCAGAGGUCUUCGCCACCCGGAGGAGAAGGCGGCUACCGCUUACAGGGGAACUGACAUCAGGUUGGCGCAUCAGCUACCAGGGAAACCAGCGGCAGGAGCACGCCCCUCACAACCCCUCAGGAGUGAUGGUAAUCUCCACUUCACAGAGUUUCCAUGAGGACACCAAAAGAGCGCAUGGAACGUGGGAAAGUACGCACCCGAGGCUGCGGCAAGAUCAAGCGGCAGAGCCCCGACUUCACUGCUCCCCCCGAGGCGCCUGUGCCCAGGGGAGAAAUGCCUCCCCCAUCAAAGGCAGAGGAGGGCUAGCUCUUCUCUGCCCCAGGGCAGGAGGGAGCUAGUGCUGAUUGGGAUGGAGAACAAAGACAUGCAGGCCCCUGAACUCUGAGCAACCAAGGUCACAGGUAAGAAAACUGAGCUUCAGCAAGCGUAUGUGACUCAGCCAGAACUGCAGGGCUGGCCAUGAUCAAGGUCAGGAUUUCUUCCUCCAAGUCCUGCACUCUUUCCGGUGCUCCACAUUGCCUCUUAUUUCCCUAAGGGACUCUAUCCAAUAGCUUUUCAGAGUUCCUGUCUGAAGAGCACAGGAGCAGAG